rnacentral:tRNA from 1 species
GCUCUUAUAGCUCAGUUGGUUAGAGCACCCGUUUAGUAAGCGGAGGUCUGGAGUUCGACUUUCAAUAUAGCA